UUACGGCCAUAUCACGUUGAAGCACCGGUUCUCGUACGAUCACCAAAGUUAAGCAACAUCGAGCGUGGACAGUACCUAGGCGGGUGACCGCUUAGGAGUUGGAUGUG